rnacentral:rRNA from 1 species
GACGGGGGGUCCAAGCGUUGUUCGGAAUCAUUGGGCGUAAAGCGUGUGCAGGUGGUUUUGUAAGUUGGAUGUGAAAGCCCCGAGCUUAACUUGGGAAGUGCAUUCAAAACUACAAAACUUGAGUAUGGAAGAGGGUCGUGGAAUUCCUGGUGUAGUGGUGAAUUACGUAGAUAUCAGGAGGAACACCGGUGGCGAAGGCGGCGACCUGGUCCUAUACUGACACUCAUACACGAAAGCGUGGGGAUCAAACAGG